rnacentral:lncRNA from 1 species
CUGAUGUGUGAGUUAGGCGGACGUAACAAAAAGCCUGGUAUUUAAGUGGAGAAGAGUCAAGGGGUGUGCCAAUUAUCCACCGAGUUCCGAGCUGUGCACCAGAAGAAAGGUUACCUCAAUGCCACCAUGAAAAUACAGUCAAAUAGAUUUUUUUAGUGCAACUCCACAAUGAAAAAUUGAAUCUUUUGAAAAGGGUAUGAACCAAAAAGAAGAAAGAAACAAGUCCCAAGUCAGGUUACCUCAAUGCCACCAUGAAAACACAAUCAAGAACAGCUUUUUAGUGCAACUACACUAUGAAAAAUUGAAUCUUUUGAAAAGGGUGUGAACCAAAAGGAAGAAAGAAACAAAAUCCAAUUCAGAUUACCUCAAUGCCACCAUAAAAACACAAUCAAGAAGAGCUUUUUAGUGCAAAUCCACCAUAAAAACACAGUCAAGAAGAGCUGUUUAGUGCAACUCCACUAUGAAAAAUUGAAUAUUUUGAAAAGGAUGUGAACCAAAAGGAAGAAAUAAGAGGACCCAAUUCAAGUUACCUCAAUGCCACCAUGAAAACACAAUCAAGAACAGCUUUUUAGUGCAACUACACUAUGAAAAAUUGAAUCUUUUGAAAAGGGUAUGAACCAAAAAGAAGAAAGAAACAAGUCCCAAGUCAGGUUACCUCAAUGCCACCAUGAAAACACAAUCAAGAACAGCUUUUUAGUGCAACUACACUAUGAAAAAUUGAAUCUUUUGAAAAGGGUAUGAACCAAAAAGAAGAAAGAAACAAGUCCCAAGUCAGGUUACCUCAAUGCCACCAUGAAAACACAAUCAAGAACAGCUUUUUAGUGCAACUCCACCAUGAAAAAUUGGAUCUUUUGAAAAGGGUGUGAACCAGAAGGAAGAAACAACAAGACCCAAGUCAGGUUACC